CAGCCGCCGCGGUAAUACAGAGGGUGCAAGCGUUAAUCGGAUUUACUGGGCGUAAAGGGCGCGUAGGUGGUUAUGUAAGUGAGAUGUGAAAUCCCCGGACUCAACCUGGGAACUGCAUCUUAUACUGCGUAGCUGGAGUGCAGUAGAGGGUAGUGGAAUUUCCGGUGUAGCGGUGAAAUGCGUAGAUAUCGGAAGGAACACCAGUGGCGAAGGCGGCGACCUGGUCCUUUACUGACGCUGAGGCGCGAAAGCGUGGGGAGCAAACAGGAUUAGAUACCCGAGUAGUCCCUGUCUCUUAUAC
rnacentral:rRNA from 1 species